GACGAACGCUGGCGGCGUGCUUAACACAUGCAAGUCGAGCGGUAAGGCCCUUUCGGGGGUACACGAGCGGCGAACGGGUGAGUAACACGUGGGUGACCUGCCCUUAGCUCUGGGAUAAGCCUGGGAAACUGGGUCUAAUACCGGAUAUGACCUCAUGACGCAUGUUGUGGGGUGGAAAGCCUUGUGCGGCUAGGGAUGGGCCCGCGGCCUAUCAGCUUGUUGGUGGGGUGAUGGCCACCAAGGCGACGACGGUAGCCGGCCUGAGAGGGCGACCGGCCACACUGGGACUGAGACACGGCCCAGACUCCUACGGGAGGCAGCAGUGGGGAAUCUUGCGCAAUGGGCGAAAGCCUGACGCAGCGACGCCGCGUGAGGGAUGACGGCCUCGG
rnacentral:rRNA from 1 species